AUGACUCCCAUGUGGCUCUUCCUCUUCCUGCUGUCAGCUCCCAGAUGUGUCCUGUCCCAGGUGCAGCUGCAGGAGUCGGGCCCAGGACUGGUGAAGCCCUCGCAGACCCUCUCCCUCACCUGCUCUGUCUCUGGAUUCUCCAUCACAACCAGUGGUUACUGCUGGCAUUGGAUCCGCCAGCCCCCAGGGAAGAGGCUGGAGUGGAUUGCGAUUAUAUGUUAUGAUGGGAGCACUAAUUACAGCCCCUCCCUCAAGAGCCGAACCUCCAUCACCAGAGACACGUCCAAGAACCAGUUCUCCCUGCAGCUGAGCUCCAUGACCACCGAGGACAUGGCCGUGUAUUACUGUUCAAGACACAAUUUUACCUUGAAUGCAGCCCCACGUCAUCCCCUCAUGCCCAUCUCCUGUACCAGGCCCUCCCUGAGACACCAGGGCCAGGGCCACUCAGGCAGCCUGAAGUGA